rnacentral:rRNA from 1 species
GAUGAACGCUGGCGGCGUGCCUAAUACAUGCAAGUCGAGCGAACAGACGAGGAGCUUGCUCCUCUGACGUUAGCGGCGGACGGGUGAGUAACACGUGGAUAACCUACCUAUAAGACUGGGAUAACUUCGGGAAACCGGAGCUAAUACCGGAUAAUAUAUUGAACCGCAUGGUUCAAUAGUGAAAGACGGUUUUGCUGUCACUUAUAGAUGGAUCCGCGCCGCAUUAGCUAGUUGGUAAGGUAACGGCUUACCAAGGCAACGAUGCGUAGCCGACCUGAGAGGGUGAUCGGCCACACUGGAACUGAGACACGGUCCAGACUCCUACGGGAGGCAGCAGUAGGGAAUCUUCCGCAAUGGGCGAAAGCCUGACGGAGCAACGCCGCGUGAGUGAUGAAGGUCUUCGGAUCGUAAAACUCUGUCAUUAGGGAAGAACAAAUGUGUAAGUAACUAUGCACGUCUUGAUGGUACCUAAUCAGAAAGCCACGGCUAACUACGUG